rnacentral:rRNA from 1 species
GCCCUUAGAGUUUGAUCAUGGCUCAGGAUGAACGCUAGCGGCAGGCUUAAUACAUGCAAGUCGAACGGAAACAGACCUGGCAACAGGUGCUGUCGAGUGGCGCACGGGUGCGUAACACGUAUGCAACCUACCCUUUACUGGGGCAUAACCCUGAGAAAUCGGGGCUAAUACUCCAUGGUAUUAUUCUAAGGCAUCUUGGAAUAAUUAAAGAUUUAUCGGUAGAGGAUGGGCAUGCGCCCCAUUAGUUAGUUGGUAAGGUAACGGCUUACCAAGGCUAUGAUGGGUAGGGGAUCUGAGAGGAUUAUCCCCCACACUGGUACUGAGACACGGACCAGACUCCUACGGGAGGCAGCAGUAAGGAAUAUUGGGCAAUGGAGGGAACUCUGACCCAGCCAUGCCGCGUGCAGGAAGACGGCCUUAUGGGUUGUAAACUGCUUUUCUGCGGGAAUAAUCGCCUUCACGAGUUGAAGGUUUGCAGGUACCGCAGGAAUAAGCAUCGGCUAACUCCGUGCCAGCAGCCGCGGUAAUACGGAGGAUGCGAGCGUUAUCCGGAAUUAUUGGGUUUAAAGGGUGCGUAGGCUGACAAGUAAGUCAGUGGUGAAAUAUCCGGGCUCACCGGGAGGCUGCCAUUGAUACUGUUUGUCUGGAGUG